UGGCUCAGGACGAACGCUGGCGGUAUGCCUAACACAUGCAAGUCGAACGAAAAACGAGGGCUUGCUCUCGUUUUUAGUGGCGCACGGGUGAGUAACGCGUGAGUAAUCUGCCUUAAAGUGGGGGAUAACAUUUGGAAACGAAUGCUAAUACCGCGUAAUAUACAGUUUUUCGCAUGGAUUUUGUAUUAUAGAUUUAUCGCUUUAAGAUGAGCUCGCGUCCGAUUAGCUUGUUGGCGAGGUAAAUGCUCACCAAGGCGACGAUCGGUAGCCGGGUUGAGAGACUGAACGGCCACAUUGGAACUGAGACACGGUCCAGACUCCUACGGGAGGCAGCAGUGGGGAAUAUUGCACAAUGGGGGAAACCCUGAUGCAGCAAUACCGCGUGAGGGACGAAGGCUCUAGGGUUGUAAACCUCUGUUUAAAGGGAUGAAUUUCUGACAGUACCUUUAGAGGAAGCUCCGGCUAACUACGUGCCAGCCGCCGC
rnacentral:rRNA from 1 species